rnacentral:rRNA from 1 species
CUAGUCGCACGGGCUUAGACCCGUGGCAUAUAGCUCAGUAACACGUGCCCAAACUACCCUACAGACCGCGAUAACCUCGGGAAACUGAGGCCAAUAGCGGAUAUAACUCUCAGGCUGGAGUGCCGAGAGUUAGAAACGUUCCGGCGCUGUAGGAUGUGGCUGCGGCCGAUUAGGUAGAUGGUGGGGUAACGGCCCACCAUGCCGAUAAUCGGUACGGGUUGUGAGAGCAAGAACCCGGAGACGGUAUCUGAGACAAGAUACCGGGCCCUACGGGGCGCAGCAGGCGCGAAACCUUUACACUGCACGACAGUGCGAUAGGGGGACUCCGAGUGCGAGGGCAUAUAGCCCUCGCUUUUCUGUACUGUAAGGUGGUACAGGAACAAGGACUGGGCAAGACCGGUGCCAGCCGCCGCGGUAAUACCGGCAGUCCAAGUGAUGGCCGAUAUUAUUGGGCCUAAAGCGUCCGUAGCCGGCCGGACAAGUCCGUUGGGAAAUCGACGCGCUCAACGCGUCGGCGUCCAGCGGAAACUGUCCGGCUUGGGGCCGGAAGACCUGGGGGGUACGUCCGGGGUAGGAGUGAAAUCCUGUAAUCCUGGACGGACCACCAAUGGGGAAACCACCUCAGGAAGACGGACCCGACGGUGAGGGACGAAAGCUAGGGUCUCGAACCGGAUUAGAUACCCGGGUAGUCCUAGCUGUAAACGAUGCUCGCUAGGUGUGCCGUAGGCUACGAGCCUGCGCUGCGCCCUUAGGAAGCCGAGAAGCGAGCCGCCUGGGAAGUACGUCUGCAAGGAUGAAA